rnacentral:rRNA from 1 species
AGACCCGAAACCCGGUGAUCUAGCCAUGGGCAGGUUGAAGGUUGGGUAACACUAACUGGAGGACCGAACCGACUAAUGUUGAAAAAUUAGCGGAUGACUUGUGGCUGGGGGUGAAAGGCCAAUCAAACCGGGAGAUAGCUGGUUCUCCCCGAAAGCUAUUUAGGUAGCGCCUCGUGAAUUCAUCUCCGGGGGUAGAGCACUGUUUCGGCAAGGGGGUCAUCCCGACUUACCAACCCGAUGCAAACUGCGAAUACCGGAGAAUGUUAUCACGGGAGACACACGGCGGGUGCUAACGUCCGUCGUGAAGAGGGAAACAACCCAGACCGCCAGCUAAGGUCCCAAAGUCAUGGUUAAGUGGGAAACGAUGUGGGAAGGCCCAGACAGCCAGGAUGUUGGCUUAGAAGCAGCCAUCAUUUAAAGAAAGCGUAAUAGCUCACUGGUCGAGUCGGCCUGCGCGGAAGAUGUAACGGGGCUAAACCAUGCACCGAAGCUGCGGCAGCGACACUGUGUGUUGUUGGGUAGGGGAGCGUUCUGUAAGCCUGUGAAGGUGUGCUGUGAGGCAUGCUGGAGGUAUCAGAAGUGCGAAUGCUGACAUAAGUAACGAUAAAGCGGGUGAAAAGCCCGCUCGCCGGAAGACCAAGGGUUCCUGUCCAACGUUAAUCGGGGCAGGGUGAGUCGACCCCUAAGGCGAGGCCGAAAGGCGUAGUCGAUGGGAAACAGGUUAAUAUUCCUGUACUUGGUGUUACUGCGAAGGGGGGACGGAGAAGGCUAUGUUGGCCGGGCGACGGUUGUCCCGGUUUAAGCGUGUAGGCUGGUUUUCCAGGCAAAUCCGGAAAAUCAAGGCUGAGGCGUGAUGACGAGGCACUACGGUGCUGAAGCAACAAAUGCCCUGCUUCCAGGAAAAGCCUCUAAGCAUCAGGUAACAUCAAAUCGUACCCCAAACCGACACAGGUGGUCAGGUAGAGAAUACCAAGGCGCUUGAGAGAACUCGGGUGAAGGAACUAGGCAAAAUGGUGCCGUAACUUCGGGAGAAGGCACGCUGAUAUGUAGGUGAAGUCCCUCGCGGAUGGAGCUGAAAUCAGUCGAAGAUACCAGCUGGCUGCAACUGUUUAUUAAAAACACAGCACUGUGCAAACACGAAAGUGGACGUAUACGGUGUGACGCCUGCCCGGUGCCGGAAGGUUAAUUGAUGGGGUCAGCGCAAGCGAAGCUCUUGAUCGAAGCCCCGGUAAACGGCGGCCGUAACUAUAACGGUCCUAAGGUAGCGAAAUUCCUUGUCGGGUAAGUUCCGACCUGCACGAAUGGCGUAA